ensembl:lncRNA
UGAAUAUAUUUUUGCUGUCCCACAGAUUAUUUGGAAAUGGUCCUCUUUCUGAUUUAUAUGCGUUAGCCUAACUAUUGUAUUAAAAUGACAUUUUUCGCAUUAUUCAUACACUCAGAAUUCGUUGCUUCAUCUUCAGUAGCCUACCUCUCCUUGUGCAUGAGAGUUCAAUUGCGUGGUCUCAGUGGGUGUUCUCACUAAGUAGAGUACAUGGGCGGAGAAUCAAGUCGCAGUUAACUUAAAUAUGAAAUUAAAUGAAAUAUGAUUAGAAUGUAGUUUACUACAGUGUCUGUAAAUAAAUAUUGAUAAUGGAACAAAGAGCGUGCUCAACCAACGUGAGUCGAAGUACAAUGAAAAACAUGUAUUUAUGAUUGAAAGGCACAACUCGCACAUAGGUGACCAUAGGUUAGGUUACCAUGGUGACCAUAGGUUUAGGUUACCAUGGUGACCAUAGGUUAGGUUACUAUGGUGACCAUAGGUUAGGCUACUAUGGUGACCAUAGGUUUAGGUUACUAUGGUGACCAUAGGUUAGGCUACUAUGGUGACCAUAGGUUUAGGUUACCAUGGUGACCAUAGGUUAGGUUACUAUGGUGACCAUAGGUUAGGCUACUAUGGUGACCAUAGGUUUAGGUUACUAUGGUGACCAUAGGUUAGGCUACUAUGGUGACCAUAGGUUUAGGCUACCAUGGUGACCAUAGGUUAGGUUACUUUGGUGACCAUAGGUUAGGC